AGGGAGCCAGCCAGCCAGUCCCCAGGCCCCAGGGCCAGCACACAUUUGCGGGGCCGCUUUAAAUGGCAGAGUCAAUGUCAAAUCCACAGAGAAGUCAUAACGUGGGACCAGAAUGAAAAACGGGGGUUAAAAAUUCAGAGCCAUGCCUUGAGUUCAUCCUUUGACCUGAGCAGUUAACAUUCAUUUCUUUCCUAAGCAGGGCUUCAAGAGUCACGGCUUUGAGAAAAUACUCCUCUCUCUGGGACUCAUCUCAGCCGAAGUCAUCAGGAAUGGCCUCGGGACGGGACGGCAGCAGGAAUUCAGUGGGGCUCUUGGUUCUGGAAACUGCCUUCCGUGGAUGCCGUGCUUCUCAUCACUGCCCUCGCUGGGGGAGCUCACCUUGCGGGGGCCGGCGGCUCCUGCGCCUGCGCAGUCCUAAACACAGGCGUCCUGUUUGGCCCCGCCCUCCACGUUUGCUCGCACUAGGUUUGGUCCACGAGUCGGUGUUUCAGUUAUUAUGUCUACGCAAUGCUCCUCUCUCCCUCUCCAUUCAAAUGCUCAGCCCCGCGUUUCUAUGUCGCACUGGAUUUUCCCAUCUAGACACCCUGCGAGCGAACCCUGAAUGUCCCUCCAUCCUUCCGUUUAUCACACCCUCCGCUGUGCAAUGCCAACCCCAGGGGUGUUCCCUUUUCACUUUCCCUCACAUCUGUCCCUUUUUCUCCUUGUCUCUACGUGCCGUCUCCCUAGCACAGCCUUAGCCCUUUGCAGGGGCCUCACAGCUGGUCCCCCACUUCCAUUCUUGCCCUCCCAUCUCUCCUGACUCCUGCAGCUCUCCUGGCGUCUCCCCCAAAGAGCAGCUCUCUUCCCUGCUUGACUUCUGGACAUGUCAGGAACUAAGGGAAUUAAGAGGAAGGCCAUGUCGCAGGAUAUGGCUUUGCGUGGGUGGGCUAAAGUGGCUUUCUGGCUUGACCUCAGUUAGGCCAUCCUGUGCUUGCUGCACUCGCCUGGGGCAGGUGUAUACGGAUGUGGCGCUGGGGCAGGUAGGGUGGCCAGGGGGGCAGGUGUACCUUGAUGCAUGGAGUCAACCUCAGGUGUGACCUCCAGCCCACAGCAGCAGCGGAGAACUCACGUUCUUCUCAGAGAAAGGAAAGAGGGGCAGAGCUGAAUCAAGCCUGCCCAGUUGUGCUUCCUAAACACCAGCCAGAGAAGCACCUGUGCCCAGGCAGUGAGUGAAACUCCUAGAAGGAAGCAUCAGGGGAGGGGGGCAGCAUUCUCUGUCUUAGGAGAACAGACUCGUAAAGUGUGAGAGGCAGUUGCCUUGCUGUCUUGCUCAGAUGUCUUCAAGUCCUCACGUUUGCAUCCCCAACUUUAUUCUGCAGAAGAAAGCAGCCAAUGGUAGGUUCCCAUUACUUAGCUAUUUUACACGGUAGUGGGUCUGUGUUGUUCCCAUCCUCCUAAUUUACCUCUCUCCUCCCAUCGUUUCCCCUGUGGUA